UACGAAGGUGGCAAGCGUUGUUCGGAUUUACUGGGCGUACAGGGAGCGUAGGCGGUUGGAUAAGCCCUCCGUGAAAUCUCCAGGCUUAACCUGGAAAGUGCAGAGGGGACUGUUCAGCUAGAGGAUGGGAGAGGAGCGCGGAAUUCCCGGUGUAGCGGUGGAAUGCGUAGAGAUCGGGAAGAACAUCAGUGGCGAAGGCGGCCUGCUGGGCUGUUGCUGACGCUGAGGCGCGACAGCGUGGGGAGCAAACAGG
rnacentral:rRNA from 1 species